AGUGAACGCUGACGGUAGGCCUAACACAUGCAAGUCGAACGAGUGGCGGACGGGUGAGGCAUACCUCGGAAUCUACCCUCUCGUGGUGGAUAACGUCGGGACACUUACGCUCAUACCGCAUACCAUUGACUGAGCCGAUGUGGGAGUGGCUAGUUGGCGGGGUAAAGGCUCACCAAGGCGACGCUCCGUAGCUGGUCUGAGAGGAUGACCAGCCACACUGAAACUGAGAAACGGUCCAGACUCCUACGGGAGGCAGCAGUGGGGAAUAUUGGACAAUGGGCGCAAGCCUGAUCCAGCCAUACCGCGUGGGUGAAGAAGGCCUUCGGGUUGUAAAGCCCUGUUGUUGGGAAAGCGGUACCCAAAGAAUAAGCACCGGCUAACUUCGUGCCAGCAGCCGCGGUAAUAC
rnacentral:rRNA from 1 species